GGGUCAUUAGCUCAGUAGGUAGAGCACAGGACUUUUAAUCCUGGUGUCCCGGGUUCGAGCCCCGGAUGACUCA
rnacentral:tRNA from 1 species